GGAUAUCUUGGCUCUUGCAACGAUGAAGAACGCAGCGAAAUGCGAUACGUAGUGUGAAUUGCAGAAUUCCGCGAAUCAUCGAGUCUUUGAACGCAAGUUGCGCCCGAGGCUUGACCAAGGGCAUCCCUGCCAGAGCGUCACCG
rnacentral:rRNA from 1 species